UCUCAGGAGAGGCCACAAGGCAUGGAGGAGAGCCAGAUCUGAGGCCGGAGGGCCGACGCAGCCUGCGCAUGGGGGCUGUGUUCCCCAGAGCACCCACUGCCAACACAGCCUCUACAGAAGGUCUUCCUGCUAAGGUCAGUGCCCAGAGGGGCAAGCAGGGUGGGGGCACCAAGCAGUUCUGCCAGGCUGAAUGGGCACUGUGGGGACACUCCACGUGCAUCGUGGCUAGCAGGCACAAUUGGGGUGGAGGUGGUGGCGAUGAGCUUGCCUGCCGCCAUAGAUUGGCUGGGACUCGGAGGUCACUGUUGCCUGGCUCAGCCCCUUGUCUUUCCUGACCCCUCAGGGAUGGGGCAUGGGGCCCUGGGAGGCCUUGGGUAAUGGCUGUCCCCCUCCCCAGCCCGGCUCACACACGCUGCGCCCCCGGAGCUUCCCAUCCCCGACCAAGUGUCUCCGC
rnacentral:lncRNA from 1 species